UACGUAGGGGGCAAGCGUUGUCCGGAAUCAUUGGGCGUAAAGAGCGUGUAGGCGGCCCGGUAAGUCCGCCGUGAAAGUCCAGGGCUCAACCCUGGAAUGCCGGUGGAAACUGCCGGGCUGGAGUCCGGAAGAGGCGAGUGGAAUUCCUGGUGUAGCGGUGAAAUGCGCAGAUAUCAGGAGGAACACCAAUGGCGAAGGCAGCUCGCUGGGACGGUACUGACGCUGAGACGCGAAAGCGUGGGUAGCAAACAGG
rnacentral:rRNA from 1 species